rnacentral:rRNA from 1 species
AUACGUAGGGGGCGAGCGUUGUCCGGAAUGAUUGGGCGUAAAGGGCGCGUAGGCGGCGCGGUAAGUCUGGAGUGAAAGUCCUGCUUUCAAGGUGGGAAUUGCUUUGGAUACUGCCGCGCUUGAGUGCAGGAGAGGUUAUCGGAAUUCCCGGUGUAGCGGUGAAAUGCGUAGAGAUCGGGAGGAACACCAGUGGCGAAGGCGGGUAACUGGACUGCAACUGACGCUGAGGCGCGAAAGUGUGGGGAGCAAACAGGAUUAGAUACCCUGGUAGUCCACACUGUAAACGAUGAAUGCUAGGUGUAAGAGGUAUCGACCUCUUUUGUGCCGGAGUCAACACAAUAAGCAUUCCGCCUGGGGAGUACGGCCGCAAGGUUGAAACUCAAAUGAAUUGGCGGGG